GUGAAUGUCCAGUCGAGACAAUGUAGCUUCACCCCCUCUUUAUACAGACAAGAGAAAGGGGGAGGAGAGGGCACAACAGAAGGAGUGGUGUAUUCGACAUCAACUGCGGCCAGACUUGACAAGAUUGCAGUGGGGCAGUAGUCAGAUUCUAUCAAACUGUAGUGGAUGUAGUGGACCAGAUACGGAGGGAAAAACAACAAACCAGUGUUCCAGGAUGCACAGCAUGAAGUUGAAGUUGUAAUGUAGUCAAAGAGUGGCGACCUUUACAAAUUAAAUUCAUGUGGUAGUUUUGGUCUGUUGUUACUUAAUUGCCAUACUUAGGAAUGAUGACUUUACUAUUAGUAUACGUAAAUGUGUAUAAAUGACAUUUGUACAUUUUUAAUUAUAAAGAAAGCGU
rnacentral:lncRNA from 1 species